rnacentral:pre_miRNA from 1 species
CAGUCUCAGUGUGCAUUUUCAUCUGUUUGCAUUGUGAUGGACAGUAAAUGCCACUGAGAUUAGA